rnacentral:rRNA from 1 species
GGGAUAAGCCAUGCGAGUCAACAUAGCAAUAUGUGGCAUACGGCUCAGUAACACGUAGUCAACAUGCCCAGGGGACGUGGAUAACCUCGGGAAACUGAGAAUAAACCACGAUAGGUCAUCACUUCUGGAAUGGGUAAUGACUUAAAUCUACAUGGCCCCUGGAUUGGACUGCGGCCGAUCAGGCUGUUGGUGAGGUAAUGGCCCACCAAACCUGUAACCGGUACGGGCUCUGAGAGGAGGAGCCCGGAGAUGGGCACUGAGACAAGGGCCCAGGCCCUAUGGGGCGCAGCAGGCGCGAAACCUCUGCAAUAGGCGAAAGCUUGACAGGGUUACUCUGAGUGAUUUCCGUUAAGGAGAUCUUUUGGCACCUCUAAAAAUGGUGCAGGAUAAGGGGUGGGCAAGUCUGGUGUCAGCCGCCGCGGUAAUACCAGCACCCCGAGUGGUCGGGACGUUUAUUGGGCCUAAAGCAUCCGUAGCCGGUUCUACAAGUCUUCCGUUAAAUCCACCUGCUUAACAGAUGGGCUGCGGAAGAUACUAUAG